rnacentral:rRNA from 1 species
AUUGAACGCUGGCGGCAGGCCUAACACAUGCAAGUCGAACGGUAACAGGAAGAAGCUUGCUUCUUUGCUGACGAGUGGCGGACGGGUGAGUAAUGUCUGGGAAACUGCCUGAUGGAGGGGGAUAACUACUGGAAACGGUAGCUAAUACCGCAUAACGUCGCAAGACCAAAGAGGGGGACCUUCGGGCCUCUUGCCAUCGGAUGUGCCCAGAUGGGAUUAGCUAGUAGGUGGGGUAACGGCUCACCUAGGCGACGAUCCCUAGCUGGUCUGGGAGGAUGACCAGCCACACUGGAACUGAGACACGGUCCAGACUCCUACGGGAGGCAGCAGUGGGGAAUAUUGCACAAAGGGCGCAAGCCUGAUGCAGCCAUGCCGCGUGUAUGAAGAAGGCCUUCGGGUUGUAAAGUACUUUCAGCGGGGAGGAAGGGAGUAAAGUUAAUACCUUUGCUCAUUGACGUUACCCGCAGAAGAAGCACCGGCUAACUCCGUG